rnacentral:sRNA from 1 species
CUUUGCUCUCAUACCCAUCCUCACAUUUACGAGCUUGCGGCCAGUAAUGAGUGACUUUGCCAAUGGACUAGGCUGGCGGAUUGCAGGAGGAAUCUUGGUCCUUAUCAUCUGUUCCAUCAAUAUGUACUUUGUGGUGGUUUAUGUCCGGGACCUAGGGCAUGUGGCAUUAUAUGUGGUGGCUGCUGUGGUCAGCGUGGCUUAUCUGGGCUUUGUGUUCUACUUGGUAAGUCUGGCCUGGAAGAGCAGGGGCAUAGGUAUCAGGGAUGGUUGAGGUGGGGUUCACUGACAUUCAGAAAUGAACAGACCCAGGCUGGGCACAGUGGCUCAUGCCUAUAAUCCCAGUACUUUGGGAGGCUGAGGCGGGAGGAUUGCUUGAAUCCAGGAGUUAGAGACCAAUCUGGGCAACAUAGUAAGACUCCAUCUCUACAAAAAAA